rnacentral:rRNA from 1 species
UACGGAGGGGGCAAGCGUUGUUCGGAAUUACUGGGCGUAAAGGGCGCGCAGGCGGCUGCUCAAGUCAGGCGUGAAAGGCCUGGGCUCAACCCGGGAAUUGCGCUUGAGACUGGGCUGGCUUGAGUGCGGGAGAGGAUGGUGGAAUUCCCAGUGUAGAGGUGAAAUUCGUAGAUAUUGGGAAGAACACCAGUGGCGAAGGCAGCUUGCUGGGACGGUACUGACGCUGAGGAGCGAAAGCGUGGGGAGCGAACAGG